GGCUGGGUGGCUCACUGGUAGAGUGCUUGCUUUGCAUGCAUGAGACCCUGGGUUCAAUUCCUCACCACCA
rnacentral:tRNA from 1 species